GAGCUGCCGCCGAUACAAAGGCCUGGCUGGGGGGAAAUCUCAAGCCACCUGUGACAUCAAGAUCAGGAUCAAGAUCGGGGCCGCGGGAAGUGAACGUAAACAACACCCUCCCGUGCCCGUGGUCGUGGAGCUCCUCCGAGAACAGCAGCCGAGCGCCCUCCCUCACCCACAGCCAUCUUUUUGGGACGCAGCGAGCUGACCAAGUGGAUAAGCUGUUGAUUUGUGAUCAAGAUCAACCAGAGCAACGCGUGAUGGAUGUGCUUAAUAAAUCGCCAAAUAAAUGGACCAUUGCAGAGUGUAAAAGAUAUCUAGAAGCUCAUUCUGUGACAUGUUUGGGGUGCACCGAGGAAGAACUUGUUGAUUUGGUAAAAGAAGCCCUCCAGCACCCUGAAGUUCCUCAGAAUGUAGAAGCUCUCUGUGGUGUUCAGACCAAAGAGAGACGAUGGUGGCUGCAAGCACGCGGUGGCACUGAUGUUCAGCGUGGCCGAGCCCUUCCCUUACAUCUCCGACAAGCCUUUGUGUGGCAGUCUCCCCUGCAGAUGCAGCAAGCCAUGCAAGGCUACAGGUUCACUCAAACAAAAUGUUAUUAAGGCAAGGUAUGUUUACUAAAAACAGCAGAAUACAAAGAGAGGAACAGAGGAACCAGGAGAGGAAUGUAUUAGAAUACUAUAAAAUACAGCCAAAGUUAUUUCAUAGAUAUGUCAACAUCAAGCUGAAAAACAGAGAAGGAAUAAGUAAACCUAAGGUGGAUGGUGAAGAGUACGAGGAUGUGGCAGCAAUGGUGGAAGUGAUGAAGGUUGUUUUCAGGCAGUGUUUACAAGGGAGAGUGAGUGACCUUGAUGAACAUGAAGGGAGAGAAGGAAAUAUGGAGCACCUGAAGGAAGGAAGGUCAGGACGUGAGGAAAGCACUAGAGUCAGCUGGUCUGUCAGGCUGGGCCUUGAGGGAGUGCAGUAAGCAAUCAGCUGGUAAGAUCCAGUGCAUCACAGUGAGCUCACUAGCAGAAGGCGCGGUGCCAGCAGGUUGGAAACCAGCAGACGUUAUACCAAUUCACCAAGGGGGAUGCCGCCAAGACCCUGGGAACUGCAGGCUAGUCUCUUUAACAAGUGUGGUAGCAAAGAUCUGUGAAAGGCUGAUCAAAGAUGGGUGGGCCACCCGGAGAGGCAGAACAGGUUGACAGACAAACAGCAUGGCUUUUGAGGAGGAAGAUCUUGUACAACAGACUUGAUGUGCAUUUACUCAUGAAUGAUUGACAUACGUAGUGCAGGGAAGGGAAGGUUGGGGCUGCUGGGACUUAUUUAGAUCUACAGAAAGCACAUGACAAGCGUCUGCCUCACAACCAAAAGGACUGGGGUUCGAUUCCCCACCUGGGUGAAGAUGAGUUGGGUUUAUCAUCUUUCACGUGUAGCCCCUGUUCACCUAGCAGUGAGUAGGUACGCAACGUAAGGUGAGGAGUUGUGACCUCGUUGUUGCGGUGUGUUGUGUGAGAGUGGUCUCAGUCCUACCCAAAGAUCGGUACUAUAAGCACUGCUCUUCCGUAGAGGAAUGGCUGGCUGUCUCGAGAGAGACCCUCAGCAGACCAAGAGGUGAAUUACACACAUGCAAUGCUCAUUUCCUGUUUACCACAACUGGGUAAGUCCAUGCAAUGAGUGCCUUCGACAGGAGGAAGUGUGAUGCCUUAGAGAAGGAAAUUUUGGGGUUAUGAGAUUUUGUAGUCCCAAUACAUUCACCUAGGAAGCCAGGGAACUCAUCAUGGAUACAUUUACUUUAUGGCUCAGUAUUCAGUCAUCAUUGUAUCACUUUGGCUGUUUUACUAUUUCAGUACGACAGACUUUUAAUAUUAUAUUAUUUCACAGGAGGAACAGAAAUCUACCCCUGCCCAGGUCUCGCCAUAUCGACACCAGAAGAAGUAAGGAAAGACUUGCUGAAAAUGUUGGAAGGAACGGAUGCAGUCAUGUGGCAACUCUUUAAGCAGCCGGAGGGGGAGGCAGCAGAUCUCACCAACCCAGAGGCAGCCAACAGCCACUCAGCGAGCGACAGUGGCAAGCCGAGCAGCAAGAGGAGCAGACAGGAGGGGAAGAGGAGCAGCAGGGAAAGUACCACCACCACCUCCUCCUCCUCCUCCAGCAGCAUCAGGAACAAGACAAGGAUGCUGAGAUGAGACAGGGCAGCAGAAGGAAUAACUG